GGGGUUGUGGCUCAGUGGUACAGCACUUGCCUGGCAGGUGUUAACACUAGGUUCGAUUCUCAGCACCA
rnacentral:tRNA from 1 species